ACCGGGCAUGGUGGCUCACGCCUGUAAUCCUAGCACUUUGGGAGGCCGGGGUGGGUGGAUCACCUGAGGUCAGGAGUUCAAAACCAGCCUGGCCAUCAGGAUGAAACCCCAUCUUUUUAUUUAUUUAUUUAUAAAAACAUAAAGAUGGGGUUUCACCAUGAUGGCCAGGCUGGUUUUGAACUCCUGACCUCAGGUGAUCCACCCACCCCGG
ensembl:misc_RNA Metazoa_SRP Metazoan signal recognition particle RNA